CAUCAUUAGCCACCGGGUUAAUGUGUAAGGUGUAUCCCUUUUCCAUUAGGUCUUAGAAGGAAAAGGAAUGCACCUUUUUAUGUU
rnacentral:ncRNA from 1 species